rnacentral:lncRNA from 1 species
AAAAGUAGCCUGAGGGCUUGAUGUUGGGUGGGGCCAGUCCUUAGGGUGAGCUGCCUGCCCUGGCUGAACUGGAUUAAAUCUGUGCUCUAGUGGGCAUGGCAGAUCCCUGGGCUAACAGCCCAAGGGAAGAACCUCAGUGGCACCCACCCGGGUCUGUGUCAGCAUGCCUGGACCAGGUCAGAACAAUGGCCUCCACCAAUGUCUCAGUCUCCACAGAGGUCCCUCCUCUCACCAAGAUGCCCCCAGAGCCCACCAGGUUUGGAGGAGACAUCGGUACAGAAAUGCAAGAGUUGGAGUGUUGAAGUUCUAAGAGCCCAUGAGUUCUCCGAGGCAUGAAGGAAGGACUAACGAAACUGCUUCAGGAAUUAGUCUGGAAAAAUGCACACAGUUCAGGAAAUAAAAGAAGAAAGAAAAUAAGAAAGUUCUCCACAGCCAUUUACCCACGUGGUGUGUUCUCUGCACGGAUUUCACAAAUGCUCCUCUAAGGUGUGGACAGCACUCUAGAUGCAUUGAAUGAAGACUCUGGUACCAAUUGAAAUUUACAGAUGAAGACUCCAUAAAAGCAACAUGCAAUGGAAAAUAAAAUACUGAGAUGCCUGGAUUCCAUGCCUCUUUUAGUCACAGUUAUAUAUUUUCCUUGUGGAAUAAUUCUUGAAAGAAUUUGAGGAUCAAACUGAAAUGAAAAAGUACGUGACAAAAAGACACAACAGGCAAGGUCAAAAGACACAUGACAAACUGCAAGAAGUAGUUUGCAAUAUAUGUUAUAAAUGAAGGUCUAUGUUCCUAAUACACAAAUGUGGGUCUAUGUUUGCCACUCAGAGACUCAGAAAUCUAAUCAUCACAAUUUAAGUGAAACAAAUAAACCUUACUGCAUCAUUUAACAUCCCCCUUAGAUUUCAGUACAUAAAUAUUUUAAAGUAGGUAACUUCAGCAUCUCUACAAGAGUUUUUUUCCAACCCGAAGUAUUGGAAGAAUCUGAUACCUGUUCUACUCCUGCCUAAAGUAUUGGAAGAUUACAACAUAAGUCUGAAAUAAACCUCAUUUCCUGUGCAUCCCUUCAUGAUGGUUCAUUGGCCUGUCGAGCUGAUAAUGUCUUUCAAAGGUAAACUCUUAAGGUAUAGAGAUGGUUCCUUUAUAAUAAAUAUACUAACAGUAAAUAUAUGAACAUGAAAACUUCAUUAGGGGCCAGCCCCAUGGCCUAGUGGUUAAGUUUGGCAUGCUCUGCUUUGAUAGCCCAGGUUUGGUUUGCAGGGGAGACCUAUACCACUUGUUAGCGGCCAUGCUGUGGCAGCAACUCACAUACAAAAAGUGGAGGAAGAUUGGCACAGAUGUUAGUUCCUUAAGCAAAUUUUCCUUAAGCAAAAAGAGGAAGAUUAGGGCUGGCCUGGCAGCACAGCUGUUAAGUUUGCAUGUUCUGCUUCAGCCUCCUGAGGUUCACCAGUUUGGAUCAUGGGUGUGGACAU